rnacentral:rRNA from 1 species
CCUACGGGAGGCAGCAGUGGGGGAUCUUGGACAAUGGGGGGAACCCUGAUCCAGCGACGCCGCGUGAGUGACGAAGUAUUUCGGUACGUAAAGCUCUGUCAGCAGGGACGAAAGCAAUGACGGUACCUGACCUAGAAGCCCCGGCUAACUACGUGCCAGCAGCCGCGGUAAUACGUAGGGGGCAAGCGUUACCCGGAAGUACUGGGUGUAAAGGGAGCGUAGACGGCUGUGCAAGUCUGGAGUGAAAGGCGGGGGCCCAACCCCCGGACUGCUCUGGAAACUGGAUGGCUGGAGUGCAGUAGAGGUAAGCGGAAUGCCUAGUGUAGCGGUGAAAUGCGUAGAUAUUAGGAGGAACACCAGUGGCGAAGGCGGCUUACUGGACUGUAACUGACGUUGAGGCUCGAAAGCGUGGGGAGCAAACAGGAUUAGAUACCCGAGUAGUC